AUUGAACGCUGGCGGCAUGCUUUACACAUGCAAGUCGAACGGCAGCACGGGUGCUUGCACCUGGUGGCGAGUGGCGAACGGGUGAGUAAUGCAUCGGAACGUGCCCAUGAGUGGGGGAUAGCCCGGCGAAAGCCGGAUUAAUACCGCAUACGCCCUUAGGGGGAAAGCGGGGGAUCUUCGGACCUCGCGCUAUUGGAGCGGCCGAUGUCGGAUUAGCUAGUAGGUGAGGUAAAGGCUCACCUAGGCGACGAUCCGUAGCUGGUCUGAGAGGAUGAUCAGCCACACUGGGACUGAGACACGGCCCAGACUCCUACGGGAGGCAGCAGUGGGGAAUUUUGGACAAUGGGCGCAAGCCUGAUCCAGCCAUGCCGCGUGAGUGAAGAAGGCCUCGGUGUAAGACUCUUCAGUGGAAGAAAUAGACGC
rnacentral:rRNA from 1 species